AAACGAUUGAAGUCAGUCGUACCCGACGGGCAUUCAGCUUCUCGGGUGUGAUUAUGGUGGACGUGGGGAGAUCCCAUGCUGUCAUAUUCGUGCCUUUGGGGUGUAUUUUCCGUAUGGUAGGUCAACAUCAAUUCUGGUCGUCAUAAAAUGACGGGAGGAAUGUGGCUUCAUUUUUUGAAGUGUUAUAGCCUCUGGUAGAUGUGAUUAUCGGGAUUGAGGAUUGCAACGAAUACUCUUUGGGCUACUCGUCUGAUCUCUGAUUGUCGCUUUGGUGCCGAAAGCGUGCUUAUGGUAUUAAAGUAGGUGGUUAAAAGGUUAGAACGGGUUAAAUUCGUUAAGGAUGUUGACGUA
rnacentral:rRNA from 1 species